rnacentral:rRNA from 1 species
UACGUAGGGCGCAAGCGUUAUCCGGAAUUAUUGGGCGUAAAGAGCUCGUAGGCGGCUUGUCGCGUCGACUGUGAAAUCCCGCGGCUCAACUCCGGGUCUGCAUUCGAUACGGGCAGGCUAGAGUUCGGUAGGGGAGAUCGGAAUUCCUGGUGUAGCGGUGAAAUGCGCAGAUAUCAGGAGGAACACCGGUGGCGAAGGCGGAUCUCUGGGCCGAUACUGACGCUGAGGAGCGAAAGCGUGGGGAGCGAACAGG